rnacentral:rRNA from 1 species
UACGUAGGGUGCAAGCGUUUAAUCGGAAUACUGGGCGUAAAGCGUGCGCAGGCGGUGAUGUAAGACAGAUGUGAAAUCCCCGGGCUCAACCUGGGAACUGCAUUUGUGACUGCAUCGCUGGAGUGCGGCAGAGGGGAUGGAAUUCCGCGUGUAGCAGUGAAAUGCGUAGAUAUGCGGAGGAACACCGAUGGCGAAGGCAAUCCCCUGGGCCUGCACUGACGCUCAUGCACGAAAGCGUGGGGAGCAACAGG